rnacentral:rRNA from 1 species
CAGUCGCCGCGGUAAUACGUAGGUGGCAAGCGUUGUCCGGAAUUAUUGGGCGUAAAGGGCUCGCAGGCGGUUUCUUAAGUCUGAUGUGAAAGCCCCCGGCUCAACCGGGGAGGGUCAUUGGAAACUGGGAAACUUGAGUGCAGAAGAAGAGAGUGGAAUUCCACGUGUAGCGGCGAAAUGCGUAGAGGUGUGGAGGAACACCAGUGGCGAAGGCGACUCUCUGGUCUGUAACUGACGCUGAGGAGCGAAAGCGUGGGGAGCGAACAGGAUUAGAUACCCGGGUAGUCCCUGUCUCUUAUAC